rnacentral:rRNA from 1 species
UACGUAGGGUGCGAGCGUUGUCCGGAAUUAUUGGGCGUAAAGAGCUCGUAGGCGGUGUGUCACGUCGGCCGUGAAAACCUGCAGCUUAACUGUGGGCGUGCGGUCGAUACGGGCAUCACUGGAGUUCGGCAGGGGAGACUGGAAUUCCUGGUGUAGCGGUGAAAUGCGCAGAUAUCAGGAAGAACCCCCGUGGCUAAGGCGGCUCUCUAGUACGGUACUGGCGCUGAGACGCGAAAGCGUGGGGAGCGAACAGG